rnacentral:miRNA from 1 species
UGGAAGACUAGUGAUUUUGUUGUUUGACUUGAACAAAACAAGAAAUCACUAUCUCCCA